rnacentral:tRNA from 1 species
GGAGGGAUGGCAGAGCGGUCGAAUGCGGCGGUCUUGAAAACCGUUAGACUGGCGACGGUCUCCUGGGUUCGAAUCCCAGUCCCUCCGCCA